GAUAUGAGAAAAGCUCUGUCCAGAGAUAUGGAGACGAAAUCAGUUGUACCUCACCCUGUGACACCGGAAGACAUUGAGUAACUCGUCCUGCAGCUGGCUCCUCGGUUUUGGCGGCAGCCUGCACAUAGCAGCCCAGCUCUCCAGCAGCCUGACGGACCGACCGUGUGUCUGUUCCACGCCGGACUGGCGAGCGUGGCUCCGGGUAGGACAGCCGAGGUGCCCCAGGGCCGGGCCCCGAGCCCCGGUGCGGAGUCUCUCCCGGAACCGGCUCUGUGUGUGACUGAAUAAACGCUUGCGGUCUCUUUUGCCGUG